GAUGAACGCUGGCGGCGUGCCUAAUACAUGCAAGUCGAGCGAACGGACGAGAAGCUUGCUUCUCUGAUGGCAGCGGCGGACGGGUGAGUAACAUGUGGAUAACCCACCUAUAAGACUGGGAUAACUUCGGGAAACCGGUGCUAAUACCGGAUUACAUUUUGAACCGCAUGGUUCAAAAGUUCAAGACGGUCUUGCUGUCCUCUAUAGAUGGCUCCGCGCUGCUUUAGCUAGUUGGUAAGGUAACGGCUUAGCAAGGCAACGAUGGAUAGCCGACCUGGGAGGGUGAACGGCGACACUGGGACUGAGCCACGGUCCAGAGUCCUAGGGGAGGCACAGGUAGGGAAUCUUGGGCGAUGGGGGAAAGCUUGACGGAGCGGCGCCGGGUGGGUGAUGAAGGUCUUCGGGUCGUAAGACGGUGUUAUUGGGGAAGAACACAUGUGUAAGUGACUGAGCACAUCUUGACGGUACCUGAACAGAAAGCCACGGCUAACUACGUG
rnacentral:rRNA from 1 species